rnacentral:lncRNA from 1 species
AAUGGAGCAGAGACUGGAGCAGAGACAAGUUGUUCCCACUGAGCUCUCCUCAGAUUACAGAUUGGGAGUGGCAAAUCAAAGGCAUUGCAGCCUCUUUCAUCACUGCCGAUUGCUGAUGCCAACCAUGUGCCAAGUGCUUAAUACGUCACCUUAAAUCUUCUCAUCCACCCUCAGAGCUGCAGCAUCAACCCAGUGCCCUGACUUUCAAGACGACUAUGAAAACACCCCAACUGCUGCUAAAUUACCAGCAACAAGGAUCUGACAUUCUUAUUCAAAAGAAAGAACACCGAAAUUGACCUUACCCUGACAAUAUGAUGGCUGAAGGAUUUAUGAUCACUUAUAACAUUUGAAAUUGAGGCGGAACCUGAAGAAUAAGACUCUGGUGAAAGGUCCUAUUUAUGCUUUUGAUGUCUUUCACUUGGACAUUUACCACAUGCCUAUUGGUAGGUUUGUUACAUAGGUCAGUUAAGGUGAUACAAGAAUAAAUAAAACACUAUCCCUAUCCUUUAAUAUCAUUUAUUUAUGGGGUCAAUCACAGAUUUUCAUUUUUCAAAAUCUUUGAUAAAUGUCAGAAUUAUGUUUUUUAAUAUUUUUACAGAAUUAUUACAAUAUAUGGUAGAGGAUGGAAGGCAAGGUAGUAUGAAACGGAAAAGAUAUUUUGAAUUAAGGUAUUUGGACCUGGAUUAAUAUUUUUGCUUUGGUCUUUAUUAGCUGAGUGACCUUGAGAAAGUUCUUCUACUAAAAAAGAACAAAGAUAAUAAUUACUUCAUGAAAUUGCUGUAAAAAACACAUAACAAGUAUAUCCAGACUCAACAGUGUAUGCUCAAAAAUGCAGAUCCUUUUUCCCUUACCUGCAAAUAAAGUCUUACAGUAAUACAGUGGGGGUAAAGGUUUAAACUGGUGGAUUCAAGAAGGGCUAUAGAAAGAGGUAGCAUCUUAAUAGGGGAAGGAGAGGAUCCAAGAAAUCAGAUCCAUUUUCUACAAAAAGAAAUGGGAAGACAGAUAAUUCAAGAAGAAAAGUUUACAUGAUUAAAGACCCGAAGUUAGAAAUAGUGAUGUGUCUCAAUAGUAAGUUAGGAAUUGGGGUGGACACAAUUGUUGGAAGAAGGAUGGUUUCAGCAAAGGCCCAAGUUAGGUGACAAUUUCAAGUGUUUGUGAAGAUAUAUGAACAAAAUUAUAAAGUAGUUAGGGUAUAAGAAAUAGGGAGGAGGGAAUGAAUUAACAUUUAUGGAGUGUCUUGCAUGUUCCAAGCACUGUACUACUUGCCUUAUAAACCUUUCUUCAAUAAACGCCUACAACAAUCCUGAGAUGUGGAAUUAUUAGUUCCUCAAUGGACCCAGAGAGUUUCAAUUAUGUGCUUAAGAACACAGAGUUAGUAAAGGACAGAGACAGAAUUCAAAUUAAG